CGGACUCGCGGGCGGUCCGCUGUUCCACGGAAGCCGUCGUCGCCGGCCGGCRCGACCGCUAUUACAAUACAAUAUCGUACAUGUGAACGACGCGCGUUACGUGACCGCGCGGCAGAUCACCGGUGACCACCCGACGGACGAUCGCGUGUGUCGUGUAAGCGAGUCUCUCCGAGUACGCGUUUCGCGACCGCAUGUGUCAAUGGUAUAUGUGUUAGUGUGUGUCUGCCGCCGCGAAUUCGUCGAAUGAACGUGCCGCGUCGUAAGUUCGCGCGCGCCAAAGUUUCAACCGACGCCCUUUGUGAUAAAUGUAAUCGUUUUAGUUUUUUUCAUAUUAUAUUAUUCUUCCUCAAAAUUCAAGCGRUUUAUUUAUCCGUUUUUGAGGGUCCUGUCUUACCGGUGCUCGUGUAAAACCAUCAAAUUUAUUACAUACUAAAGGCACAUGGACAUAAGUACCUACUUACAAACCAACUGUCGUCCUCUAUGCUGAUAAUAUUCGUCUAAACGUGUCACCGGAUAAUGAAAACCUCGCUMUGUCUGUCGUUAGCCGAGUGGAGAAUUUUGAAGAUUAGUUAAACAUGUCAUCCUGAUGGUGAUCAAAAUAAUGGCUGGUAAAUGAGAGAGCGAAUGGGGUGCUCAUGGGUUGCGCGUCUAGUAGCAAAGACGUCUUCAAGUAUCGUCAUAACGCGAUUAAAAAAAAUAAUACUGUUACAUUGGACCGACUUUUACAUGAUCAAACAGGAUUGUGCUGUUGAUACUGGUUGUGGAGAAUCAUGUAUCGCAUACAGUCAGCAAAAU